GGGCGGUUGGCUCAGCGGGAGAGCGCUUCCCUGACACGGAAGAGGUCACUGGUUCGAUCCCAGUAUCGCCCA
rnacentral:tRNA from 1 species